rnacentral:rRNA from 1 species
AGUGGCGGACGGGUGAGUAAUGCAUGGGAACUUGCCUUUGCGAGGGGGAUAACCAUUGGAAACGAUGGCUAAUACCGCAUAAUGUUUUCGAACCAAAGUGGGCUUCGGCUCACGCGCAAAGAGAGGCCCAAGUGAGAUUAGCUAGUUGGUAAGGUAAAGGCUUACCAAGGCAACGAUCUCUAGCUGUUCUGAGAGGAAGAUCAGCCACACUGGGACUGAGACACGGCCCAGACUCCUACGGGAGGCAGCAGUGGGGAAUAUUGCACAAUGGGGGGAACCCUGAUGCAGCCAUGCCGCGUGUGUGAAGAAGGCCUUCGGGUUGUAAAGCACUUUCAGUGGUGAGGAAAAGAUAGCAGUUAAUACCUGCUAUCCGUGACGUUA